CUUAGCAGGACCCAGGGCUUCUCCUUCCACUGGUGCUCUUACUAGGAUAUUCAUUGCUACCUAUGAGGUCAGAGUCCAGGGUCAGUCCAUGUAUAGUCUUUAGGUAGUGGCUUAGUCCCUGGAAGCUCUGGUUGCUUAGCAUUGUUGUACAUAUGGGGUCUCGAGCCCCUUCAAGCUCUUCCAGUUCUUUCUCUGAUUCCUUCAACGGGGGUCCUAUUCUCAGAUAGCAAGCACUUUUACCCACUGUGUCAUCGUUGUGGAGUUUCUGAAGCAUGCUGAAGACAAAUGAUCCUUCAUCCCAAGGAAAUCAUGACCUAGAGACAACAGACAUCAUGAAUAGCAAAGAUGAGACUCUGUCCUCUCCGGUAACCCCACAAGACCUUCCAGAAUUUGGCCUGGAAAGAGACAAAGAGAAGAAAAAAGUUACUUCAUCUCCAGGAGAUUACAGAGAAUCAUAGAGAAAUGACAGCAGAGAGGGUUGGUGAAGAAACUGUUUCAGGGAUCGCAUCUGCACAACCGUGCUAAAUCAGCAUUUCCCAAACUAUAGCCCACAGGCCACCUCUGCCCUCUUUUCACUUCUAGAUGCAACACGGAAUUAAAAGAGGUUUGUACAAAUGAAUGUCUGUAGUCAGUUUCCUGACUGACAUCAAAGACUUUGAGCCCUAAUUAAGCUAAGAUAUAUUCAAAUUAUUGAAAAGAAUUAAGUCCUUUUUAUUAGGUAUAUGCCUCAAAAGGUGUAACCAGGG
rnacentral:lncRNA from 1 species